rnacentral:rRNA from 1 species
UACGGGGGGAGCAAGCGUUGUUCGGAUUUACUGGGCGUAAAGGCGCGUAGGCGGCCACCGCAAGUCGACUGUGAAAUCUCCGGGCUUAACCCGGAAAGGUCAGCCGAUACUGCGGGCUAGAGUGCAGAAGGGGCAACUGGAAUUCUCGGUGUAGCGGUGAAAUGCGUAGAUAUCGAGAGGAACACCUGCGGCGAAGGCGGGUUGCUGGGCUGACACUGACGCUGAUGUGCGAAAGCUAGGGGAGCGAACGGG